rnacentral:rRNA from 1 species
GAUGAACGCUGGCGGCGUGCCUAAUACAUGCAAGUCGAGCGAACGGACGAGAAGCUUGCUUCUCUGAUGUUAGCGGCGGACGGGUGAGUAACACGUGGAAAACCUACCUAUAAGACUGGGAUAACUUCGGGAAACCGGAGCUAAUACCGGAUAAUAUUUUGAACCGCAUGGUUCAAAAGUGAAAGACGGUCUUGCUGUCACUUAUAGAUGGAUCCGCGCUGCAUUAGCUAGUUGGUAAGGUAACGGCUUACCAAGGCAACGAUGCAUAGCCGAUCUGAGAGGGUGAUCGGCCACACUGGAACUGAGACACGGUCCAGACUCCUACGGGAGGCAGCAGUAGGGAAUCUUCCGCAAUGGGCGAAAGCCUGACGGAGCAACGCCGCGUGAGUGAUGAAGGUCUUCGGAUCGUAAAGCUCUGUUAUUAGGGAAGAACAUAUGUGUAAGUAACUGUGCACAUCUUGACGGUACCUAAUCAGAAAGCCACGGCUAACUACGUG